rnacentral:rRNA from 1 species
GUGGGGAAUUUUGGACAAUGGGCGAAAGCCUGAUCCAGCCAUGCCGCGUGCAGGAUGAAGGCCUUCGGGUUGUAAACUGCUUUUGUACGGAACGAAAAGACUCCUUCUAAUAAAGGGGGUCCAUGACGGUACCGUAAGAAUAAGCACCGGCUAACUACGUGCCAGCAGCCGCGGUAAUACGUAGGGUGCAAGCGUUAAUCGGAAUUACUGGGCGUAAAGCGUGCGCAGGCGGUUAUAUAAGACAGAUGUGAAAUCCCCGGGCUCAACCUGGGAACUGCAUUUGUGACUGUAUGGCUAGAGUACGGUAGAGGGGGAUGGAAUUCCGCGUGUAGCAGUGAAAUGCGUAGAUAUGCGGGGGAACACCGAUGGCGAAGGCAAUCCCCUGGACCUGUACUGACGCUCAUGCACGAAAGCGUGGGGAGCAAACAGGAUUAGAUACCCCGGUAGUCC